rnacentral:rRNA from 1 species
GAUGAACGCUGGCGGCGUGCCUAAUACAUGCAAGUCGAGCGAACGGACGAGAAGCUUGCUUCUCUGAUGUUAGCGGCGGACGGGUGAGCAACACGUGGAUAACCUACCUAUAAGACUGGGAUAACUUCGGGAAACCGGAGCUAAUACCGGAUAAUAUUUUGAACCGCAUGGUUCAAAAGUGAAAGACGGUCUUGCUGUCACUUAUAGAUGGAUCCGCGCUGCAUUAGCUAGUUGGUAAGGUAACGGCUUACCAAGGCAACGUUGCAUAGCCGACCUGAGAGGGUGAUCGGCCACACUGGAACUGAGACACGGUCCAGACUCCUACGGGAGGCAGCAGUAGGGAAUCUUCCGCAAUGGGCGAAAGCCUGACGGAGCAACGCCGCGUGAGUGAUGAAGGUCGUCGGAUCGUAAAACUCUGUUAUUAGGGAAGAACAUAUGUGUAAGUAACUGUGCACAUCUUGACGGUACCUAAUCAGAAAGCCACGGCUAACUACGUG